rnacentral:tRNA from 1 species
GGGCCGUUAGUUCAGUUGGUAGAAUGCGUCUCUCCUACAUCACGUGAUGUUGACGGAUACAAGAUGAGGUCCUGGGUUCGAGCCCCAGGCGGCCCU